rnacentral:lncRNA from 1 species
ACGUAUUAAUAGCUAGAUGAUUGUAUUAUUAGAUGAUUCAAAUGCUUCUGGCAGGUUAAAGAAGGCUGGAAAUGUUUAGGAUCAUGGAGGUGGACAAGAGGAGAGCCAAUACAGUAUGGUAGUGGUGGAUGAAGGGAUGGUAGUUGCAAAUCUAGAAAGCAAUAGAAAUGUUGAUAUGGGUCAAUUUUGAAAUGGAAUCAAUGAAUGCUGAACAUCAAGCUGUAGCUAGAAAUUUGGGGAUGGUGGUAGUGUGUAAUUAGAUAACUAAUGACAAGAUAAUGGAAGAGAUCAAGGCAAUUACCUUUAGAAAUAUAGAAGCUGAGUAUAUUAAGGACAGCUAAGUACUUUUAUUGCAUGAAAGAAGUUGGUUAGGGAUUGCCAUUUGUAAAACAAACAUGUCCAAAUUUAGGAAAUAAGGUGAGAUUAACAUGAUGGGAGUUGUAAGGGUGAGAGCUGGUAUCAGUGGAAUGGGGCUUACAUGUUUGAAUGUGAUUGUGAUUUACAAUUUAAUGAAGGGUAAUGAGUUGAAUGGUGAUGGUGCUAAAAGGUCUAGACCUAGUUGGAAUAUAGAAAAGAAGAGCCAAGGAGCUAGUAUUAAGGUAAAAGUUAAAACCAAGAUACAUAUCAAGGUUUGUGUAGAAGAGACAUGAAAAUAGAAGAUUAACAUGAUGAGAGUAGUAGGGGAGAGCUGGUAUUAAUGGAAUGGGGCUUACAUGUUUGAAUGUGAUUGUGAUUUACAAUCUAAUGAGGGGUAAUGAGGUGAAUGGUGACGGUGCUAAAAGGUCUACACCUAGUCGGAAUAUAGAAAAGAAGAGCCAAGGAGUUAAUAUUAAGGUAAAAGUCAAAACCAAGAUACGUGUCAGGGCUUGUGAAGAAGAGACAUGAAAAUAGGAGAAGAUAUUCAUGACGGGAGGGCAUUGGAAGUAAUUGAAAUUGGCCGAUGAGGAGCUUGUGAAGAACUUAUGGAAAUGGUGGAAGCCAGAAUUAUCAGGGCUUGUGAAGAAGAGCCAUGAAAUAUGAGAAGAUAUACAUGACGGGAAAACAUUGGAAGUAAUUGAAAUUGGCCGAUGAGGAGCUUGUCGAGGAACUUAUGGAAAUGGUGGUAGCUGGAAUAUGUUCUGGCUCUGUUGUUUACAACAAGGUGCUUGAUGUGGAACUGCUGAGGGCUCAACUACACUUGUGCAGUUAAGAGUUUUUGUUUAAGACUAGGGAAAGUCACACCUGUGCAGAUUGCUCACACGAAAGGUGUACAUAUAUUAGAAAAAAACCGUCCUGACCAAUAUAUUAAGCUAUGCCAGCAAAACCAAGUUAGGAACAAGGGAAACUUCCUCCAGAAGAAGAUGAAUUUUGAGUGAACAUCCCACUAUUGUAUGUAUAGAUGGUCACUGCAAAGUCAAGCAAUUCUUACGCUUCAGCCUUCACUCUGUAUUUGAAUGGCUACUGCAUGAUAAUAACUAAUGAUCAAGGAGGAACUUAUGAUCUACUCCCAUUAUAUAUGUCGAGGAUUUUAAGGACUGAAUGUAAUGCUUAAUUUGGG